CAGUCGCCGCGGGAAUACGUAGGGUGCAAGCGUUAAUCGGAAUUACUGGGCGUAAAGCGUGCGCAGGCGGUUAUAUAAGUCAGAUGUGAAAUCCCCGGGCUCAACCUGGGACCUGCAUUUGUGACUGUAUAGCUAGAGUACGGUAGAGGGGGAUGGAAUUCCGCGUGUAGCAGUGAAAUGCGUAGAUAUGCGGAGGAACACCGAUGGCGAAGGCAAUCCCCUGGACCUGUACUGACGCUCAUGCACGAAAGCGUGGGGAGCAAACAGGAUUAGAGACCCCUGUAGUCCCUGUCUCUUAUAC
rnacentral:rRNA from 1 species